GAAAAGAGUAAUCUGCUAGUAGAUGGGCUCGCGUCUGAUUAGAUAGUUGGUGGGGUAACGGCCUACCAAGUCGACGAUCAGUAGCCGGACUGAGAGGUUGAACGGCCACAUUGGGACUGAGAUACGGCCCAGACUCCUACGGGAGGCAGCAGUCGGGAAUAUUGCGCAAUGGAGGAAACUCUGACGCAGUGACGCCGCGUAUAGGAAGAAGGUUUUCGGAUUGUAAGCUAUUGUCGUCAGGGAAGAUACAAGACAGUACCUAAGGAGGAAGCUCCGGCUAACUACGUGCCAGCAGCCGCGGUAAUACGUAGGGAGCAAGCGUUAUCCGGAUUUAUUGGGUGUAAAGGGUGCGUAGACGGGAAAGCAAGUUAGUUGUGAAAUCCCUCGGCUUAACUGAGGAACUGCAACUAAAACUGUUUUUCUUGAGUGUUGGAGAGGAAAGUGGAAUUCCUAGUGUAGCGGUGAAAUGCGUAGAUAUUAGGAGGAACACCGGUGGCGAAGGCGACUUUCUGGACAAUAACUGACGUUGAGGCACGAAAGUGUGGGGAGCAAACAGGAUUAGAUACCCUGGUAGUCCACACCGUAAACGAUGGAUACUAGGUGUAGGGAAUGAUUUCAUUUUCUGUGCC
rnacentral:rRNA from 1 species